rnacentral:lncRNA from 1 species
CCGGAUACGUCGACAAUAGAUGACGGGACUCACGUUGUACGUUCACAUCAGGUCCCGGCCCGCCGGAACCUGGGCGAUCCACGAUGCCGAGUUUGCCACGCUGCGACAGCCCAUAGGCUUGCCCCCCCGGGCAUUCGGGUGGACUACGAACACAAACUGAAGCCCUAGGACUUGUCGCCGGUUUGCGCUCUCGCCGAGGCACAGGCUGCUCGCGGACCACCCUGCUCCGAAAACUAAGAGGUAGGUGGUAGCCCAUUCAUCUGGUUACUGAUACUGGCCGGCAUCAGCGGACUGUCGGCAGGUCCUUGAGCAACUGGUGUGUGAAAUGGGACGGACGUCAAAGGACAAGCGGGAUGUCUACUACCGCCUGGCCAAGGAGAAUGGCUGGCGUGCUCGCAGCGCCUUCAAACUGCUACAACUGGAUAAGGAAUUCCAACUCUUCCAAGGUCCCUGACUGGUGGGCAGGUCACUGGGCGGUGAGGUGGGCACAGGAGGUAAACAAGUAGGCUGGGUCUGCAGAGCACCGUGUGGUAGGUGGGCUGACUCAGAGGGUCUCUGG